rnacentral:rRNA from 1 species
UGUAACGGGGCUAAACCAUGCACCGAAGCUGCGGCAGCGAACGUAUCACCCAAGACAACUUUACGGAGUUGACGAUUGACGGAGCGAAGCGACGUCAAAGCGUUCAUUAAAGUCGAGUUGGCUUAGGGAUACGUUCGUUGGGUAGGGGAGCGUUCUGUAAGCCUGUGAAGGUGUGUCGUGAGGCAUGCUGGAGGUAUCAGAAGUGCGAAUGCUGACAUAAGUAACGAUAAAGCGGGUGAAAAGCCCGCUCGCCGGAAGACCAAGGGUUCCUGUCCAACGUUAAUCGGGGCAGGGUGAGUCGACCCCUAAGGCGAGGCCGAAAGGCGUAGUCGAUGGGAAACGGGUUAAUAUUCCCGUACUUGGUGUUACUGCGAAGGGGGGACGGAGAAGGCUAUGUUGGCCGGGCGACGGUUGUCCCGGUUUAAGCGUGUAGGUGUGUGUUCCAGGUAAAUCCGGUUCACUUUAACACUGAGGCGUGACGACGAGGCACUACGGUGCUGAAGCAACAAAUGCCCUGCUUCCAGGAAAAGCCUCUAAGCAUCAGGUAACACGAAAUCGUACCCCAAACCGACACAGGUGGUCAGGUAGAGAAUACCAAGGCGCUUGAGAGAACUCGGGUGAAGGAACUAGGCAAAAUGGUGCCGUAACUUCGGGAGAAGGCACGCUGACACGUAGGUGAAGUGAUUUACUCAUGGAGCUGAAGUCAGUCGAAGAUACCAGCUGGCUGCAACUGUUUAUUAAAAACACAGCACUGUGCAAACACGAAAGUGGACGUAUACGGUGUGACGCCUGCCCGGUGCCGGAAGGUUAAUUGAUGGGGUCAGCGUAAGCGAAGCUCCUGAUCGAAGCCCCGGUAAACGGCGGCCGUAACUAUAACGGUCCUAAGGUAGCGAAAUUCCUUGUCGGGUAAGUUCCGACCUGCACGAAUGGCGUAAUGAUGGCCAGGCUGUCUCCACCCGAGACUCAGUGAAAUUGAACUCGCUGUGAAGAUGCAGUGUACCCGCGGCAAGACGGAAAGACCCCGUGAACCUUUACUAUAGCUUGACACUGAACAUUGAGCCUUGAUGUGUAGGAUAGGUGGGAGGCUUUGAAGUGUGGACGCCAGUCUGCAUGGAGCCGACCUUGAAAUACCACCCUUUAAUGUUUGAUGUUCUAACGUGGACCCGUAAUCCGGGUUGCGGACAGUGUCUGGUGGGUAGUUUGACUGGGGCGGUCUCCUCCUAAAGAGUAACGGAGGAGCACGAAGGUUGGCUAAUCCUGGUCGGACAUCAGGAGGUUAGUGCAAUGGCAUAAGCCAGCUUGACUGCGAGCGUGACGGCGCGAGCAGGUGCGAAAGCAGGUCAUAGUGAUCCGGUGGUUCUGAAUGGAAGGGCCAUCGCUCAACGGAUAAAAGGUACUCCGGGGAUAACAGGCUGAUACCGCCCAAGAGUUCAUAUCGACGGCGGUGUUUGGCACCUCGAUGUCGGCUCAUCACAUCCUGGGGCUGAAGUAGGUCCCAAGGGUAUGGCUGUUCGCCAUUUAAAGUGGUACGCGAGCUGGGUUUAGAACGUCGUGAGACAGUUCGGUCCCUAUCUGCCGUGGGCGCUGGAGAACUGAGGGGGGCUGCUCCUAGUACGAGAGGACCGGAGUGGACGCAUCACUGGUGUUCGGGUUGUCAUGCCAAUGGCACUGCCCGGUAGCUAAAUGCGGAAGAGAUAAGUGCUGAAAGCAUCUAAGCACGAAACUUGCCCCGAGAUGAGUUCUCCCUGAGACUUAGAGUCUCCUGAAGGAACGUUGAAGACGACGACGUUGAUAGGCCGGGUGUGUAAGCGCAGCGAUGCGUUGAGCUAACCGGUACUAAUGAACCGUGAGGCUUAACCUUACA